CGCCCCUGGCAAUGGGCAGAAAGACACCUUAUUGGAGGUGGUGUUCUUCUAUCAGUCAGGGGCAGAGCAGAUGGCAGUUCUUUGCUCCUCCAGCUUGAUGGCUGGCUUGGUGGCCAAAGCUGUUUUAUGCCUAGGACUCAUAA